UACGUAGGGUGCAAGCGUUGUCCGGAAUUAUUGGGCGUAAAGAGCUCGUAGGCGGUCUGUCGCGUCGGAUGUGAAAAUCCGUGGCUCAACUGCGGGCUUGCGGUCGAUACGGGCAGGCUAGAGUUCGGUAGGGGAGACUGGAAUUCCUGGUGUAGCGGUGAAAUGCGCAGAUAUCAGGAGGAACACCGGUGGCGAAGGCGGGUCUCUGGGCCGAUACUGACGCUGAGGAGCGAAAGCGUGGGGAGCGAACAGG
rnacentral:rRNA from 1 species